rnacentral:lncRNA from 1 species
AAAUAAUUCAAAACGUCUGUAGUAUAGACAGGCAAGGACCCAACCAAUGCAAUACCGAAUAAACCAAGAAACUGUGCUAUACGAAUACUUUCCUUUACGAUACGUUGAAAAAUUCAAGGAAACUGCAACAAUAUUAAACAAAAAAGUCAGAUAUAUGUUCUGUCUGUUAUCGUCCACUGCAUUAAACGCGACUGCCAUUUCACGAUCGUUUUCUCGACCGGAAAAGAAACAAACGGUAUUUUAAUUAAUACACUUUCUCAUUCGGGAAGUGUAACAAAGUUUUAUGCCAACAUGGGCUCUAUUCCAAGAUUUAUGUCUCACAACUGGAAAUGCUCUAAUCCUCUAUGCUUAAUUGGUUACUUCACCAAGCAAACGAUUUGAAUAGACAAAGAAUUCGGCAAAUACUGGGUCUCUUAAAAAACACUUAAAACUGAGUGAAAGACUAAAAAAAAAAAAAAUAAAAAAAAAAAAAUUCCGAGAUAGAGCUUUGUUUAUCGCGUUACCAACGCUCCUAUUGAGAAGUUGUAACAUAGAAGCUUUGUGGGGAAGCUGCUGGUUAAUUGUCUUGGCCCCAUUCAGGUUUCCUGUAUUGCAGGUUUUUCCUGGCCUCCCUGACUAUCCAGCCGUAGUAUAAGCGAUGGUAAUUCUCAAACAUGUACAAGCUUACUAUCAUCUGGCAAAAGCUGUUCUCUACAUGAAUACAGCUGUUGUAGGGGUGGGAUUGUUUGUCUAUGGGGAAUACACUCAAGUGUCAGAUACACUUUAUUGUAUUUGUGGGGUUGAAGUGCUCCCAAAGGUCACCUUCAUGCCCAUAGACUCAUUCAAUGUAAAUAUAAUCGGUCGAGUUAUAGGAACUGUCCAAGGGACCCUUACCCCUUGGUUCAGGUCAAUACGGUCAGAGGGGGUCGCUACCCUUCUGGCAUGUGCUCUGGGGACCCUUACCCCCAGAGCAGCUCUGGGGACCAUUACCCCUAGGGUUAUCAGAGCGGGCCUUAUAUAUACCCCGCAGGAUGAAAUAUAAGGCCAUAAAGAGUCUAUUG